rnacentral:tRNA from 1 species
GCCAACAUAGUGUAGUGGUUUGAGCACUGGAUUACAACUCUGGAGACCAGGGUUCAAAUCCUGGCUUGGCC